AACAUCAUACAAUACUAAAAUAGGUUAUAAUUAGUCAAGACAUCACGAUAACAACUUUUGAUCAGGCAUUACUGCCUGGGUCCUAAAGGAGACCCGGGGGACUCGAUUCAAAGCAAAUAAUGUACACUAACAAGAAGCGACAUUGUGUUCCAUUGCAACACCGGCGCCCAGCAGCAGCCCUGCAUUUCCGCCAUUUUGGGGUGAAAGCGACUCGCAGUCCACUAGUUUCUAUGGCAAUAUCAGCUGCUUUGUUUAAAAAAAAAAAAAAAAACGUACAUUAAAGCUGAAAUCCAACCUGAAUGAUGACAACACUGUACUAAACUGAGGGCCAGUGAUUAAUAUGUUCAUUCAUUCUUUGUUUGUAUAAUGGUUAAUUUGCUGUUGUUAUUUAGUCAGGCAUCAGUCACUCGCCUAUAGUUAGGACCCAGAAGGUAAAAGGACCCGGAUGUUGACGCAGUUUAGUAUUCAGUUAUGAUCGUCAUCAUUAUUAUUACUAGCGCGAGACGAACCUAACGGUGAUGAUAAUGCCAGUUCUGCCGCGAUAUUGAGUAAUCGCAUGUGUGCGUGCAUCAAAGAAACCACACUUAAUUAAAGACUGUUCAAGCAUGCAAA